GAGUGAACGCUGGCGGUAGGCCUAACCCAUGCAAGUCGAACGGCAGCACAGUAAGAGCUUGCUCUUACGGGUGGCGAGUGGCGGACGGGUGAGGAAUACAUCGGAAUCUACUUUUUCGUGGGGGAUAACGUAGGGAAACUUACGCUAAUACCGCAUACGACCUACGGGUGAAAGCAGGGGAUCUUCGGACCUUGCGCGAUUGAAUGAGCCGAUGUCGGAUUAGCUAGUUGGCGGGGUAAAGGCCCACCAAGGCGACGAUCCGUAGCUGGUCUGAGAGGAUGAUCAGCCACACUGGAACUGAGACACGGUCCAGACUCCUACGGGAGGCAGCAGUGGGGAAUAUUGGACAAUGGGCGCAAGCCUGAUCCAGCCAUACCGCGUGGGUGAAGAAGGCCUUCGGGUUGUAAAGCCCUUUUGUUGGGAAAGAAAAGCAGCAGGUUAAUACCCCGCUGUUCUGACGGUACCCAAAGAAUAAGCACCGGCUAACUUCGU
rnacentral:rRNA from 1 species